AACCCUGGAUCACCUCAAUCAGAUGGUGGGUGUGGAAUAUAUUUUGCUUCACGCACAGGAGCCGAUUCUGUACAUCAUCAGAAAACAGCAGAGACAGUCACCAACACAAGUGAUCCCUCUUGCUGACUACUAUAUCAUAGCUGGAGUGGUGU